rnacentral:ncRNA from 1 species
AUAAUGAUACUCCCGUCCAGUCACAGUCCGAGCGGCCACGGCCGCCGCAGGCAAUGAGGGCGGCUCUGUGAAAACCACAGAGGGGGCAGAUCCCCGUGA